GUGGUCACUUCAGCAGCACAUAUACUAAAAUUGGAAUGAUACAGUGAUUAGCAUGGCCCCUGCUCAAGGAUGACACAAAUUUAUCCUACCUUACCAACUAAU